rnacentral:rRNA from 1 species
GAUGAACGCUGGCGGCGUGCCUAAUACAUGCAAGUCGAGCGAACAGACGAGGAGCUUACUCCUCUGACGUUAGCGGCGGACGGGUGAGUAACACGUGGAUAACCUACCUAUAAGACUGGGAUAACUUCGGGAAACCGGAGCUAAUACCGGAUAACAUGUUGAACCGCAUGGUUCAACAGUGAAAGACGGUCUUGCUGUCACUUAUAGAUGGAUCCGCGUCGCAUUAGCUAGUUGGUAAGGUAACGGCUUACCAAGGCAACGAUGCGUAGCCGACCUGAGAGGGUGGUCGGCCACACUGGAACUGAGACAGGGUCCAGACUCCUACGGGAGGCAGCAGUAGGGAAUCUUCCGCAAUGGGCGAAAGCCUGACGGAGCAACGCCGCGUGAGUGAAGAAGGUCUUCGGAUCGUAAAACUCUGUUAUUAGGGAAGAACAAAUGUGUAAGUAACUAUGCACGUCUUGACGGUACCUAAUCAGAAAGCCACGGCUAACUACGUG